rnacentral:rRNA from 1 species
UAGGGAAUCUUCCGCAAUGGGCGAAAGCCUGACGGAGCAACGCCGCGUGAGUGAUGAAGGUCUUCGGAUCGUAAAACUCUGUUAUUAGGGAAGAACAAAUGUGUAAGUAACUAUGCACAUCUUGACGGUACCUAAUCAGAAAGCCACGGCUAACUACGUGCCAGCAGCCGCGGUAAUACGUAGGUGGCAAGCGUUAUCCGGAAUAAUUGGGCGUAAAGCGCGCGUAGGCGGUUUUUUAAGUCUGAUGUGAAAGCCCACGGAUCAACCGUGGAUGGUCAUUGGAAACUGGAAAACUUGAGUGCAGAAGAGGAAAGUGGAAUUCCUUGUGUAGCGGUGAAAUGCGCAGAAAUAUGGAGGAAUACCAGUGGCGAAGGAGACUUUCUGGUAUGUAACUGACGCUGAUGUGCGAAAGCGUGGGGAUCAAACAGG